CUUAAUAUUUUUGAAAUAUCGUUUUAGCCGUUAUUUUUUUGUUUUAAAUAUACCAUUCUUAUAUUUCUCCGUUAUUAAAAAAUAAUUCCGCUUUUAAUACCCGUUAAGUAAUUUCAAGUUAAACCUAUGUUAAAUUUCUGUUAGAGUUAAAAAAAAAUCAAAAUAUCUAUUUUGUCCCUAAAUUAAGGGCAAACAAGAAAAAUUAUUGACAGUAUAAAAAUAUAUUUGAAAGAUCAAAAAUUAAAAUAGUUGUUUGCAUCUAAUUAGAAACAAAUAAGAAAAGUCGAUGGUGAUAGAAGAGUAUAUUUAAAAGAGCAAAAUAGUAUUUUACAGAAAUAAUAGUUAUUUCAAAUAAUUUACUAACAAAAUCUAACUCUAGAAAUAUAUUUGAAAGAACUUAAAUUGUUAAAAGAACUAUCUGAAUGUUAGCUUUGUAAACAGAAUAAAUAAAAAGAUCAAAAACUUUUCAAGAAUAUAUAAGGCCCCUAAAAUAAAAAU
rnacentral:lncRNA from 1 species